rnacentral:lncRNA from 1 species
CGGCUGCGGAGGCUGGCGCGGGCUGCUGCACCUUUAACGCUUUCUGGCGCUGACAGGCGGCGGCCCAGCUAAAGUUCACAGCGCCCGGGGAGGGCCCGCCUCCGCCUCCCCUCCCGCCCCCGCCUCCCCUCCCCCAGGCCGGCCCCGGCCCCCGGCCCCGGACAGGCCCGCCGCGCGGCCGCUUGAGCUGCGAGCUGAGGAGGCCCGUUGGCUGUUCCCGCAAAGAGUGGGGGGCGCAUUUUCUCUCCUGCCAGCCCGCUCCAUCCUGGUCGUUUAUUCCCGGCCUUCCCUCACCCCCCACCCCCACAGCCUGCUGGGAAACCAGACGACCCAGCGGCCACGGGACGAGUCACCCCAACUCAACCCCAGCAGGACGCUGGAGGGGCCUCCCUUGCCCACCUCUCUUCGCUAGCACUGGCCUCCCGCACCUGGGUCUGCAGUCCCUCCGCCAUCUCACAAGUGUGCAGCCGCUAGGCCUGGGGGAUCCGAAUGACUGGGGCUGGAUAGGAAUGCCUUCGUGUUUCCCAAGACCCCCGGGCCUGCUCCACAAAGUUUGAAGGGAGCUCAGAGAUGCCCGGGAAGACGGGGGGCCCGAAUGGAAGCAGAAAAACACUUAUGGCCGCUGGGAAGUUGGGAGAGCCAGGCUGGGGCUCCGGCAGGCCCAGGGAAAGUUCCCUUUCUAGGCUCUUUAUUAAAAAAUUUAAAAGGAGGAGUUGAGGCGCCUUGAAUUUUCCUUCGCGAGUUUGGAGACCAGCCGAUUUUUCAUGAAGCAAGCAAGGGCCGCGGUCCCGGAUCCUGCAACAUAUACCUCAUUUUCUCCAGGCCUCUCCACUUGCCCGAGCUCUCAGCCACCAGGAGACAGACGGAAGGGGCUUCUGGGCUGUGUUGGGAGCGGGCAUUGUCCCCUACCCACUCCUGCACAGUUUCCCAAAGUCCAGCGACCUCCGACCCUCCUUGGGGAAAAAAAUACCAGUACCCAGACACCUCUGCACCCUGUUAUAUGACUGGGCUUGCUUCAGGAAUAUCUUACAAAGAAGAAGAAGGAGGAGGAACGGCUUGGAGUCAUGUUUACAUCUAGUUCUACUGAUCCGUUCACAUCUGGAGAGUUUAUUUAUAACUCCCUCUAUAACUCUCUGUUUGGAGGCACUGGUGGCUCUACUGACAGACUGAUGUCUAGGAAAUAUUGCUCUAUGUCUAAUGGUACCUAAAUGUGCUGUGGUUGUAUUUACAGAUUUACGUUUGAGGGAAAUAUAAUUAUUUCCAUUGUAUUUGUGCAUAUACAGUAGUUAUAGGAGCAGAUUUAUAUAUGGGAAAAUAUGCGACUCCCUUACAGCCAUCCGGCUUUAUGUACAUUUGAUAUCCUGACAGAUUUAUAUCUCUGAAGAGCUAUAUAGAUUAAAACGUAUAUUGUUAGAAUUAUGUAUCAGGAGAUAUAUACUUAUUGAUUGCGAAAUAGAGUAGUUAGAGCAUUCACUUAGAGCCAUAUAUGGCUAUGGAGAUAUUUCUAUAUUAUUAUCACUAUAUAUAGGCAUAUCUAUUUAUAACUGCAUAGUUAUAAAAAUAGACAUAA